GAGUUUGAUCCUGGCUCAGAUUGAACGCUGGCGGCAUGCCUUACACAUGCAAGUCGAACGGUAACGCGGGGCAACCUGGCGACGAGUGGCGAACGGGUGAGUAAUGUAUCGGAACGUGCCCAAUAGUGGGGGAUAGCCCGGCGAAAGCCGGAUUAAUACAGCAUGAGACCUGAGGGUGAAAGCGGGGGAUCGCAAGACCUCGCGCUAUUGGAGCGGCCGAUAUCAGAUUAGGUAGUUGGUGGGGUAAAAGCCUACCAAGCCGACGAUCUGUAGCUGGUCUGAGAGGACGACCAGCCACACUGGGACUGAGACACGGCCCAGACUCCUACGGGAGGCAGCAGUGGGGAAUUUUGGACAAUGGGCGCAAGCCUGAUCCAGCCAUGCCGCGUGCGGGAAGAAGGCCUUCGGGUUGUAAACCGCUUUUGUCAGGGAAGAAAUCCUUUGAGUUAAUACCUCGGAGGGAUGACGGUACCUGAAGAAUAAGCACCGGCU
rnacentral:rRNA from 1 species